rnacentral:rRNA from 1 species
UAGGGAAUCUUCCACAAUGGACGCAAGUCUGAUGGAGCAACGCCGCGUGAGUGAAGAAGGUUUUCGGACCGUAAAGCUCUGUUGUUGGUGAAGAAGGAUAGAGGUAGUAACUGGCCUUUAUUUGACGGUAAUCAACCAGAAAGUCACGGCUAACUACGUGCCAGCAGCCGCGGUAAUACGUAGGUGGCAAGCGUUGUCCGGAUUUAUUGGGCGUAAAGCGAGCGCAGGCGGAAGAAUAAGUCUGAUGUGAAAGCCCUCGACUUAACCGAGGAAUUGCAUCGGAAACUGUUUUCUUGAGUGCAGAAGAGGAGAGUAGAACUCCAUGUGUAGCGGUGGAAUGCGUAGAUAUAUGGAAGAAUACCAGUGGCGAAGGCGGCUCUCUGGUCUGCAACUGACGCUGAGGCUCGAAAGCAUGGGUAGCGAACAGGAUUAGAUACCCUGGUAGUCCAUGCCGUAAACGAUGAGUGCUAAGUGUUGGGAGGCUUCCGCCUCUCAGUGCUGCAGCUAACGCAUUAAGCACUCCGCCUGGGGGAGUACGACCGCAAGGUUGAAAC